GACGAACGCCGGCGGCGUGCCUAAUACAUGCAAGUAGAACGCUGAAGGAGGAGCUUGCUCUUCUGGAUGAGCUGCGAACGGGUGAGUAACGCGUAGGUAACCUGCCUGGUAGCGGGGGAUAACUAUUGGAAACGAUAGCUAAUACCGCAUAAGAGUAGAUGUCGCAUGACAUUUGCUUAAAAGGUGCAAUUGCAUCACUACCAGAUGGACCUGCGUUGUAUUAGCUAGUUGGUGAGGUAACGGCUCACCAAGGCAACGAUACAUAGCCGACCUGAGAGGGUGAUCGGCCACACUGGGACUGAGACACGGCCCAGACUCCUACGGGAGGCAGCAGUAGGGAAUCUUCGGCAAUGGACGGAAGUCUGACCGAGCAACGCCGCGUGAGUGAAGAAGGUUUUCGGAUCGUAAAGCUCUGUUGUAAAGUGAAGAAACGAGUGUGAGAAGUGGAAAAGUUUCAACAACUGGG
rnacentral:rRNA from 1 species